rnacentral:rRNA from 1 species
GGCGAACGCUGGCGGCGUGCUUAACACAUGCAAGUCGAGCGAGAAACUUCGGUUCCUAGCGGCGGACGGGUGAGUAACACGUGGGCAACCUGCCUCACAAUGGGGGAUAGCCUUCCGAAAGGAAGAUUAAUACCGCAUAACACAAAGGAAACGCAUGUUUCUUUUGCCAAAGAAUUUCGUUGUGAGAUGGGCCCGCGGCGCAUUAGCUUGUUGGUGAGGUAACGGCUCACCAAGGCGACGAUGCGUAGCCGACCUGAGAGGGUGAUCGGCCACAUUGGAACUGAGACACGGUCCAGACUCCUACGGGAGGCAGCAGUGGGGAAUAUUGCACAAUGGAGGAAACUCUGAUGCAGCAACGCCGCGUGAGUGAUGAAGGUCUUCGGAUUGUAAAGCUCUGUCUUCUGGGACGAUAAUGACGGUACCAGAGGAGGAAGCCACGGCUAACUACGUGCCAGCCGCCGCAGUAA